GCGAGCCUGGCUGGAGGCGCGGGGCUGUGCUGCGGCUUCCCACCUGGGCUCCACAGGAAAGCAACAACCCUUUGCCUUUUCCCCCUCGAUGCACCAACAAUGCAGCCUGAACCAGUCUAGGAUGCACCAUUGGCAUACCAUGUGAAUGUGAAAAGUCCAUCACAAAAGCCUCCAAUUACAGGAACCUGAAAUUUGACACCCUGAAUUUCUGCAUAAAAUCAAGCUGGACAAUGAGAA